CAGCCAGGGGACAGGACAUUUUGUGCGUUAAAAAGAAAGCGACAACGUCGAAACAAAGGAUGACUUUACACAAUUUACAACUCAACGCUGGCAAAAGGGCUUCAACAGUUGCCUCCAUCUACAAAAUAAAUAUUCAAGUAAAUUUAAUUAGGCAAAACGAGGUUUGGGGGAUCACGAUUGACAGAUUUCAGCUUUGACCAGGUCCUACUUUACAUGGGAGAGUCAUGGAUCCAAUGGGUCACUUCUGACGGCUGAGGGGACCGCAGAAUGGGAGGGGUAAAGGUCAUACAGCUUUUUAAUUACGAGAGUUUAUUGAAGAGUAGUCAGUUGGGAUCAGCAGAGAAGGAGGUCAAGGAAACAGAUGUGAAAAGGAGUCACAAGACACAAAAGGCAGAUGAGUGGUUUUCUGAAUGGUAGACUGAGCUCUGAUCAUUAGUGGUCAGUCUCCUAGCCUCCCUCUCUUGGGAACUGACCAUCUCAAGCUCAGGACCUAGAGGCAGGCUGGCACCAGAGGGAAAUGGUCACCUGCAGGACUGGACCUCCAGCAUCCCCCAACAUCAUGAGAGGGCUCUAUGCCAAACGCUAGCUUUCCUAGAGAGAGAUCUAGACUACAUGUGGCUAAACCAUUCUAGAACCCAAACCACCUUGGGCUCAUUGUCCUUUCCAGAGGGGUUCCGAUGUCUGGUACUCCUGGUGACUUAGAACAUGGAGCCCUUGUAGAAUAACUUAUUUACCUUUUGUAACAUUUUGUAAAUUGAUGAAUGGAGGCAAUUAUGAUCAAGAUAGGAUGGAAAGAAUAGAAGGAGGAAACUGAGGGCUACGAACAUGAAGUGGCUGGCCGAAGCCAUUAAGCCAGAGUUCGGGGAAAAGGAGGACCAAUAGUUGGCUAAAAGUGACUAAACAAGUUAAAGAAUUCAUGAACAAAACCUCCGCCGUCUGAACAGAGCAGAACGUGAGGAACGGCAUGUCCAGUUCCGUAACCUUCCUCAUCAAGCCCCCUUCACAGAAGGUCCAACCUGAAGAUCAUUCCAGAAGCCUCCCUGAGAGGACCCUUUGAGGAUCAGGGCAUUGGAAUAAUACAAACACUUGAUUCGUCUGUCCUACCUUUCUCACAAAUAAAUCUGGCAAUAC